AAUCAACACUCCACUCAGACAAUGCCCAGACCUCCAGAAACCAUGUGUCAAGCUCGGAUUGCCUUAGACAGAAGCUCACCCAGCUGGAACUCUUAUGGGACCUUGGCACCAGAGACCACAAAUUCCUCUUUGAAGUUUUCUAACAGCAACAAUGGAGUUUGUCUAGCAGAGGAGUCUGUCAUGUAAUCAGGAAACUCCAGUACACAACGUGAUAGCUCUAAGACAGAGUUUCGCUCUGUCGCCCAGGCUGGAGUGCAGUGGCGCGCGAUCUCGGUUCACUGCAAGCUCCACCUCCCGGGUUCACGCCAUUCUCCUGCCUCAGCCUCCUGAGUAGCUGGGACUACAGGCGCCCGCCACCACACCCAGGAAUCCAACUUGCUGUUUGCUAUCACAUGUGCUAUACAUGCUGUUGAUGAAACUGCUAAAGGGGCUGAAUGUGACUGACGUCUUUGGAAGGAUGAGACUUAGCGUGCCUGUACAGUUGUGUCCAAAUGCUGUCCUCAUCUCCCAAUGAAAAGCUGAACUAGGGCCAUGCCUGGGACAGACAGAGAAUGGCCUUCCAGCAGACAUGCCAAGAAGCAAGCCAGGGUCAGUGAGUGAAGAGGAGGGCAGGCCCAUUUGAAGCAACACAGUUUAUAUACAUGAAAAGAAAGAAGGAGAGAAGGAAGAAAGGAGGGCGGAAGGAAAGGAAGAAGGGAGAGAAGAAGAGAAGAAAGAAGCAGAGAAAGGAAGAGAAAAGAAAUUACGGCCAGUGCGGUGGCUCACGCCUGUAAUCCUAGCACUUUGGGAGGCCUAAGCGGGCUGAUCACCUGAGGUCAGGAGUUCGUAAGCCAGCCUGGCCAACAUGGUGAAACCCUAUCUCUACUAAAAAUACAAAAAUCAGCAGGGCAUGGUGGUGCGUGCCUGUAAUCCCAGCUACCUGGGAGGCUGAGGUAGGAGAAUCGCUGGAACCCGAGAGGCGGAGGCUGCAGUGAGUUGAGAUCAUGUCACUGCACUCCAGGCUGGGCAACAGAGUGAGACUCUGUCUCAGAAAAAAAAAAAAA
ensembl:lncRNA LUCAT1 lung cancer associated transcript 1